rnacentral:RNase_MRP_RNA from 1 species
GACUCAGAGCCUGGGGAAAUUCUCCGAAUGCACUGCCAGAAAGUGGCAACGGGAAACCGUCUAAACCCGUUUGAGACAUGCGACGAGGGGAUUGCUUUCCAAUAUAACGCAAGUUGUAUUGAGAGUUGUUCAUGAGCUUAGUCUUAGUCGCGGGCGAUAGUCAUUGAUUCACAGUUAUUCGACGCACUUGUGCUCAGUUAACGCUGGCACUUGUGAACCCAACGGAGAUUACUCUCGG